rnacentral:lncRNA from 7 species
CACCAUUCCCCUAGAAAGGGCCUUGCAGGUUUUCCACAGCAUCCUUCUUCGCCCGGAAGAUGCUAUAUGAGGUGACAUCUAAGGUGAUAGUGCUUGUAAGGGAAUCUGCACUCAGAGCUCAAGUCCUAAGCACCUCGACGGCCUGGACGUGAGCCCUGUCCUCGCGUCUCCAGCGGUUUGUGGCUGAGGCUGGGUGCUAGAUAGACGACAAAAAGCACUUCCCGCACCCCUCCUCCUGUGUGCGGGGUGACGGGGUGCCCGGUGCCAGGUUCCCAACCCCGCCCCCACCUCCACCCUGCAGCUUUGUUCUGGUCUCGCAGCCGCUGAAGACACUCGCCUACUGCUCUCCAGGAGGACGGAGCGGCUGUAAUGGGAACGGACAGGUAGGGGGAGCAGUGGUGCAGGGCUGGUGGCGCAGCAGCACUUCCUUCCUAACAGGACUUGGGGUCCCGGUGCUGCUUCCUGCUGUGGGCACCUCCCUGCUCCCGCGGGGGUAGGGGUGCCUUGGGGAACGGCAUCCUGGGGGCAGCUGCACCUUGCCUGCCCUCCUCCACCGGCAGUGAAGGUGCAGCGAUGCAGCUGGCUUCUGCUGGAGGUUGUGAGCAAGAAACGCCAGAAGCUGCCCAACAGCGUGAAGCUCUCCGUUCCGGAGAAGCCGUAGGGAGGAUGACGGCAACGACGGAUGUUAAUGAAGAGCAGCCUGCAGAGGAAAAAAGAAAGGAUGUGGGGAGAGGGGUGCCCUCCGGCUGAGGAGGGG